ACUGCUGGAGGAGUGGCCAGACAGUCUAGCAGACACAGGCCUAGGAAGUGGGUCUCUGCAACCUCCUGACCUCAAGGGGACAGACUGAUUCCAUAGAGCUUGGGAAGGGCUGAUAACUGUACUAAGCAGAGAGGCUUGGAACCUGAGAGACCUCGAGUAAGAGGAGCCGUGCCCAGCUGGAGACUGGGGGUGGAGUACAGGAGUCGACGGGAGAGUGAUCGGCGGUCAAUUUAACCCCCCAUGCAUCGAUCGCCGCGUGUCAAACCCCGAAGCAAUGAAGUGCGCCAGCCUCUGUGGCAAAAGCCAGCAGCCAGCCAGAAAACAGGACACUGCACAACAGCAGAAAGAGGAAAUGUACACGGACAGCAGGACAACCCCCUACUCUUAGAGAAUGCAUCAUCGGCCUUGACACCUACACACAGCUGACGGAAUUUCAGUUAAGGUCUUGCCUGAACUUCAUAGAACUAAAUGCAUCUAAAUUGAGGAUGAAAGGCUGAGACAGGUCUAUCUAUAUUUAAUCUGUAUUUCCAGGGAAAGUAACAACUACCAAGCAGACCAACUCAUCCCCUUGCAGCAGAGUCUAAAUUGUCCACAUUGCUACUUUGCAUUUUCUUUUUGAAGUCAGCCUCCCUGCAGAAAAUGCUAUUGUCAAACAUUCCCCCUCCUCAAAAUCACUUGCAAUCUUUUCAUGUAUAUCCUGUAUACUUCACUUCCCUUCAGGCUCAAAAGAAGCAAAAAGGAUACAGGAAGUGUGUGCGCGCAUGCUAAGUAUGUACAGAAUAUGAAGGGCUGUUACUGGCAAAGGUGUGAAUAAAAAAAACUCACAAGU